UCCCUGUUGGUUGUUUGGCCUAAGGCAACCCAACACUGGAGCCUACCCAGCUCUUUGGUGGGGCUAAUGGUGGAUGCUGGGAGGGCUCAUGCCAAGGAGAACUUCCCAGAACUUCUGCUGCCAGUGUUCUUGUUCCCUCGGUGAGCCACAGCCACCCCCCGCCCCCGCCUCUGCAGGAGACCCUCCAACACUAGCAGGAUGUGAGUUGUCUUGGUUGACACUGAAGAAUGAAUAGAAUGAAGGUGCAGUGGGGAAUCCAGAUGCCAUCUAAGAAGUCUGACUUACCUGAGGCCACCAUGCUCUAAGGAAGCCCAGGAUAGCUAUGUGGAGAGAGAGGGGCCAUGCAGAAGAUCACCGAGGUGUCUGUCAUGUUGAGUUCCAGGCUUACCAUAUUGAUCGAAUGGACCUUCAGCCAGGUUUUCACCCCUUGGAGUGCCAUCUUUCAUCUAAGAUACAUUUCCAGAACUCUAAUGGCGGGAAUCAGAUUGGCUGAUCUUGGAUCAGAAAUGCAUCUCUGAACCAAUCAUCUAUCCCAGGAGGGAAACACGCAAGGAAGAGACUGUGAUUGAUCUUGGUUGGGAAGCCAAGGACCCUCACUUGGUAGCCCAUCCCAGGGCUUUGCCUGAGACUUGCGACAUGACCAUCCUCUCUGUGCCCCAUUCUCCUGCAACAGGCCCAUUUAUUGCAUGAUUUCCUUUAUAUAAAAUGUCCAGAAUGGGCAAAUCUAUAGAGACAGUAAGAAAGUUAGUGGUUUCCUGGGGCUGGGAGGGCCAGGGGUAAGACUGAGAUUUUGUUGAGGGAGAUGAAAAUGUUCUGAAACUGAUUGUGGCAAUGGCUGCACAAGUUGAUAAAUUAUCUCAAAAUCAUUGAAUGGUACACUUGAAAUGGGUGAAUUUUAUGAUAUGUGAAAUAUAUCUCAAUAAAGCUCUCAAUAAAGGCGAGAUCAUCUAUUCAAAGGGACUAAGGAUAGAUCUUUCAAGGAUAAAGAUAGAAGUGCUCAUCUUAACUCUCAUAGCCCCCAUCACCUAAAGAUUAUACAGACAGCUUUGUUUCUACAAGGGAGAAGACCAUGAAAUGAACCAUUCCUGAGUGCUUUAAUGCUGUGUCUCUUACUACUGUUUCAAUGUUUGAAGUCUACUUGUGCAAUAAAUAGCAAGGUCAGACAUUAAAAACAACAGGGAGAAGGACCAUUCCUUGAGUUUGAAGGUGGUCAUCACAGUCAGAAUUCAAAUAAGUUCUCAGAAGAUGAGAAUGUUUCCUACAUUUUGCUGAAAAUGAUGAAAGAUUUAAAGAAGAGGCCUCUACUAAGAAACAUGCAAAUAUAGAAUGUUUUCAACACAUGCAGUAAUGCUAAUAAAGGAUCCUUUGCUUUCACAUUCAACUAAAUCAAACUGUAAACAUUAUCUAGGCUGAAGAUUGCUUCUGCUUCAUUUACAAGUAUUUACUAAACAAAUGGCUAAGAACACAAGAUAAUGGGAAGUUUCUUACUUUAUCCCCUUUGGAAAAUAAAUGCAAUUUGACAUGCUAAUCAUAGCCCCCCCUUCCUUUUUUUUUUUUCUUUAGAGGACUUCUCCGUAGCUAGAAUAUAGUCUUUUCAGGAAUUUGGAUCAGACUAACUUGCUAUGCCCCAUAAAUGAUACAUCCUAAAUUGCAUUUUCCAGUGGGAUUUCAACCCUUGAAUUCCUGCUAAAGUAUACCAAAAUGCAUGAUGGUUUCCACAAUCAUGUUGGGCAUCUAUUAGAACCUCUAUAUUUAUUUUUUAUUAUUAUUCU